UCCACAAAUGGACAUCAUGUAGUCGGCAGCAUCAAUCUUAAACAUCUCCCUCAGGUUCCUGAAGACCAUCGGACAGUAAUCUUUCCACUUAAAGUCUUCUGAUUGAUGAGGCGGAGUCAACUGGGAACCUUCUUUAGGGAAGUUCAUCCAAAAGCUUGCUCGUGGACCAAAGUCUGAACUCCUGACUUCCCGCCUCUGUAUGGGUGUAAUUUUUCCCACAGUGUAUCUGACCACAUUCUAAUGUAUG
rnacentral:misc_RNA from 1 species